rnacentral:rRNA from 1 species
UACGAAGGGUGCAAGCGUUACUCGGAAUUACUGGGCGUAAAGCGUGCGUAGGUGGUUUGUUAAGUCUGAUGUGAAAGCCCUGGGCUCAACCUGGGAAUGGCAUUGGAUACUGGCGAGCUAGAGUGCGGUAGAGGGUAGUGGAAUUCCCGGUGUAGCAGUGAAAUGCGUAGAGAUCGGGAGGAACAUCUGUGGCGAAGGCGACUACCUGGACCAGCACUGACACUGAGGCACGAAAGCGUGGGGAGCAAGCCGG